UUCUUUACUAGCUUUAAUAAACAAAUUUCCUGAACAAUACUAUAUAUGGGAAGCUCAAGGUCAGUGUUUCUGGACAAAUAUAACAGUAGACAUUUUGAAAGUGCAGUUUUUACUUUUUUUUUCUUUUGAUCACUCUCAUGGGAAAAACUUUAAAUAUAAUGAAAAUAUAAAUAAAAU